rnacentral:lncRNA from 1 species
GAAGAGAUAUUUUUAAAUCACCCAUCGCUCAGGCAAGUGCUUUUUCUCCUUCUCUUUCCAGUUACAAAUCUAGAGGAGAAAAAAGAAAGGGAGAAAAAGAAGGAAGGGCAACAGAGAGAAAAGGGCAGCCUCGCCAAAGGCCCAGGCAGGGAGGGAAGCGGGUGUGGGCCAACCCGGGAAGUGCUGGGGAGACCCCUCCACUGGGCGGCUCCCCCAUUCCAAUCUCCUGGCGCUGCAAAUGCUGGAAGCCCGUUAGCAAUUAAGCAAUUUCAAGUUUGUUUUUUUCUAGAAAAUGUACGUUUUUCUUUGAGUGCCCUCCCUUUUUCCGACGUUUUCCUUUCUAGCCCCGUCUCUGCCAUCCGUUUUAAUCCACACACUAAUUGUAAUCCCAUUAAAGCAGAUAUAAUUUUAUUAGUAUUCACAGUUCAUCAAGCUACCAAUAAUAACUGUUACUGCCAAUUUUGUUUUUAAAAGCGACAAACAUUUCUGAUGUUUAGAACAAACUGUAAACAAAAGCCACCCAUGUACCAGGGUGACCCGGCGGGUCCCUAGCGCAGCCCUGCGCGCUUCCCCCGAAUCUACCCGCGCCGCCUGGUGACCUCUAGGGCUUCAGGCGUGGUAGCUGCCCCUACCCUGACCUCCCUCGACACUCAUAUCAAAGCCACCGGGAAGAGGGCUGCCCUGGAGGCCUGGGCCCGCUCUGCCAAGGACUGAUCCUCUCGGGCAGGGAGUCAGAGGGGACCGCCCGAGAGGAUCCGUCCCUGCGAGGCCCAGCACGGCGCCCCACGCUCUCCUCUUGGAGCAAAUCCGCCUCGCUCUCCUCUUGGAGCAAAUCCGCCGCACUCUCGCCUGCACCGAAAUCCUGAGCGCCGCCCCGCGCCACCCCCAGCCCGCGCCCGCGCUGCCCUCCUCCCCGGGCCGCAGGCUGAGAGGCUGGGCCGCACUCUGGCCACGCUUUGUCCGGCUUUAGCGGGAUACCAGAGGCACUCGUUAAGGCAAAUGCAUCCCUGCAAACCCAUUCUCGCCCUGACACUUUAAGGCUUUAUAUAGAAACAGGAUUUGCUCGUCUUACACCAGCAGUCCCUAUUAACGCUCGCCCGGCGCACACACCACUCUAAUCCGCGAGGCCGCGGCGUACCCUGGUCCCCUCCCCCCGCCACAACAGCCGUUUUGUUUCCGCAGAAAGCGCCUCGUUGUCCCAGCCCCGGAACGUCUUACCAUUCUUCUGAAUCCACCGUGGUCCCCCCUCCCCAGCCCCAGCGGGACCAGCUCCUGUCCCCAGCAUCGCGCUAGGACCCCAGGCCGGCUCCUCAGAGCCCCGGAGGCCCGCAACCGCCACCGGCAUCACCUGGGCCGCCACGCCGCAGUGCCCGGCCUGCUGUCCCGGAGCCGGGAGCUUCC